rnacentral:misc_RNA from 1 species
AGUCAGAUCUUCAGAAGGCGUGGGGUUUAAUUUCUGGUUGAGCAUAAUGACAAGGACCUCCGGCUUGCGUCGUAAAAGAUACGGGUGUUGCCCGGCUGUCUAUUAAGCGUAGACAUUCGCUUCGAUACCUGAGUGGCAAAGUGUGCUGUAGAUCACAUUUUGCAAUUUACCUCUCAAGAAAAACAAUUUAUAACUUACUGAAUAGUAUUGCGAAAACCCUAUUUUCAUGACGCCCGCCCCAGACCUAAAAUCAGAACAUUCGUUUCAUAGCGGUAUCACUACGUCACCGCAUGGCGUGGAUUCACAAACAAAGGUAACGUAAAUAGUUAUAAUACAAGCUAUGGCACCAUGAUAAUACAAAUGGAUACAAAUGAUCGAGCAACCCGACAGUAAAAGCGCCAAACCGCUUUAUAAGCAGCUUGAAGACGCCUUAAAAGAGGCUAUUGCGCGUGGAGAGUAUAAACCAGGCCAGCAGAUCCCGACGGAAAAUGAAC